GUGCUUACUUCUGCAGCACAUAUACCAUAACUGAAACAAUACAGAGAAGAUUAGCAUGGUCCCUGCACAAGGAAGGAAAAAAUUUAUAAUAUAUCCGAAACAGAAACUC